rnacentral:rRNA from 1 species
ACUCUUGGAAACGAGAGCUAAUACCCGAUACGCUGUGGAGUGAAAGAAUUUCGCCGAGGGAUGAUCUUGCGUCUGAUUAGCUAGUUGGUGUGGUAAUGGCACACCAAGGCGACGAUCAGUAGCUGGUCUGAGAGGAUGGACAGCCACAUUGGAACUGAGACACGGUCCAAACUCCUACGGGAGGCAGCAGUGGGGAAUUUUCCGCAAUGGACGCAAGUCUGACGGAGCGACGCUGCGUGAAGGAUGACGGCCCGCGGGUUGUAAACUUCUUUUCUCGAAGAAGAAACAAAUGACGGUAUUCGAGGAAUAAGCAUCGGCUAACUCCGUGCCAGCAGCCGCGGUAAGACGGAGGAUGCAAGUGUUAUUCGGAAUGAUUGGGCGUAAAGAGUCUGUAGGCCGUAUAGAAAGUCUUUUGUUAAAUGCCUCGGCUCAACCGAGAUCCAGCAAAGGAAACUUCUAUACUUGAGGGAAGUAGAGGUACAGGGAAUUCCCGGUGGAGCGGUGAAAUGCGUANAUAUCGGGAGGAACAC